UACAUUAGGUUUGAAGCAGAGGCAGUUGUUCCAUCUUGUUCGAAAAAAGAUAAUUUUUCAACCAUUGACUCCUGCAACAAGCUUAGACUUAAAAGAGUUAAUGUAACUGGAGAUAAAGAAGUAUGUGCAGGAUUUAAUUUCACAACUAAAGAGGACUUCAAAGAAGAAUUAAAGUUCUGGUGAAACAAAGAUCGAGGAAUGAUUUGGUUUUAACUGGUUUGCAUCUUAUGAACAAAGUACAUAAUAUGAUUUAAAUUGAUGAUUUAUAGUUACACCUAUUGAAAUUCUGUAUCUCAAUGAUAUCCUGGCUUAUCGAUACGAUAUCCUGUAAAUCCACUCACAUACAAAUUUUACUUACACACGUAAUUCCUGUAAAUUCACUCACACACAUAAAUCUCAAAAAAGAUGUUUUUAUUUUUAUCUAUAAAUUGUAAAUUUUAUAUAAAUAAAUUGUAUAUUUUUUAUGUUUUUCAUUGUAUAUUACUAUUUGUAUAAAA